rnacentral:lncRNA from 12 species
AGCUUGGGACAGCUCCUGUGCAGGACCCACAGGGCCUCACAGCUCUGCAGAUGGGAGAGGAGAUUGGAAGAGGCUGCCUUUGCUCAGAGCAAGACCCUGAUCCUUCUGGAGCCUGCUCACCUUGUGUAUGUGCCUGCAGGAGUCCUGGACAGAGUGCCAGGGGACAGAGCCUGUGGCUUCUAAAAAGCAGCAAAGUUGGGGUGAUGUCACAGUAACACUCUGUGAUGCCCCCAUGUUCCAAGGAACUGUUUACUGUUUGCCACCCAGCCAGGAAAAGAGGGAAAGCCUGCUAUGCAGGAGGUUUUGGUAUCUUCCCUUGGCCUUGCAGAAUAGAUACAAGAGCACCUGAAGACUGUACCCAUGGAAUCCCUACCAUAAUGGAGCACGUCCUCAUCAACUGUGUCUGCAUGUGGUUCAAUUACUCCCAUCUACACUAUCCAGGAGCUGCAAACAGCCAGAUCAGAAGAGAAAGAAUACACAGAACUAAUAAAAUACAGAUUUGGACGUAUUUUUCUUCUAAUAUCUUUUGACAGCCCAGAGAAAUGUCUUGGUACAUUUCCAAGAAGACUGAGGACAAUCAUCCAAAAACUAGAAUGCCAGAAGACAGAAAGUAAAUCUUAUGGAAUUGUUUGGUUUCAUUCUAUG